AGAGUUUGAUCAUGGCUCAGGAUAAACGCUGGCGGCGCACAUAAGACAUGCAAGUCGAACGGACUUAACCAUUAGUUUACUAUUGGAGCGGUUAGUGGCGGACUGGUGAGUAACACGUAAGCAACCUGCCUGUUAGAGGGGAACAACAGUUAGAAAUGACUGCUAAUACCGCAUAUGCCUUAGUUAUCGCAUGAUAAUAGAGGGAAAGGAGCAAUCCGCUAACAGAUGGGCUUGCGUCUGAUUAGAUAGUUAGUGUGGUAACGGCAUACCAAGUCGACGAUCAGUAGCCGGACUGAGAGGUUGAACGGCCACAUUGGGACUGAGAUACGGCCCAGACUCCUACGGGAGGCAGCAGUCGGGAAUAUUGCGCAAUGGAGGAAACUCUGACGCAGUGACGCCGCGUGCAGGAAGAAGGUUUUCGGAUUGUAAACUGCUUUAGACAGGGAAGAAACAAGACAGUACCUGUAAAAUAAGCUCCGG
rnacentral:rRNA from 1 species